rnacentral:lncRNA from 1 species
ACACUGAACUCUACUGCAGAUAAGGAAGGGAGAGUUAACGUUGCGUCUCGCCCAGUGACGUCACGGGUGAGUGAGAGACAUUGUUGAGGGCGACAAGAGGGACGAGAAGGGAAGGAGAGAGCAAGGAAGUGCACAGUGCAACGUCGCUCAUGUGUGUGUGUGUGUGUGUGUGUGCGCGUCCCUGUGUGUAGGCUGUCGCGCGUUUCCCGAGUCAACAUUUUACACUGGGCAGAAAUACAGCGAGUUGUUGUAAUUCGGAUCACAGCAUAGACGUAUUGCAGUCUUGGUUUUAGGGUUUGGGGAACAUUUGUUUGCACGAAACACACUUUUGCACAGACUGUUGUCUACAUUCGCUGUUUAUUUUCUCCCUACGAGUCGUAUUCGAUGGAAACAAAGCAAUUGAACGAGCAUCUAUUUGUGAGUAUGAUUCCUAUAGCGAACUAUAGGCUACAGUAAUCUUACCCGAGCUUGGUAAUGAUUGUAUGUUUGCGUUUUAUUUACUUUCAUGGACUGGUGGUCCAUUUUUGCAUUCGAAUCGACGUGUUGUCAAUGAUUUAAAACCAAGCAAUAUGGACUUUAUGGCACAACUGUAGGAUAUUUAAUAAACAUUCGGCUAUCUACAGCUUUGAUUUAUUUAAAGGGAUAUUUGAUAAAGCCUAGUUGAUUAGGCGACAUGUGUCUUUUUAAUUCAUUUUAUAGACAAUUAUAGGCUAAACACAGCAUUUGACAGCAACGCCAUUUACAGUUUGUAUUUUAGCAAUAGCCUCUCAGUAGCCUGCUCGUUUAGAUUAGGGCAGAUUUCAUAUUUAAGGUAACGUGUAUCGGUUGUGGUGGCCGCUCGCUAGCGCGUGCAUACUCAUCCUUACCUCAUUGAUCCUCACGCACGCAAACACACACUUUCAAACAAGCAACCACACACUUUCACCUGCAAAAAAAAGAAAGAAGCGUCAGCACGCAGGCUGGAUAUCAAUCAACCAAUCAAACCUCUUUUUGAGAUCAUCAUCCUCGCCGUCUGUCAUCCAGAGCCAGCAGCUGAAGAGUGCAGCGGACAUGAAGAGCAUCCCUUUCUGCAUCCUAAAUGGCAUCCUACUAUAGUGCACUACUUUUACCUGAGCGACUCCCCUAUCUCCCUCCCUUCACA